CCUACGGGAGGCAGCAGUGGGGAAUUUUGGACAAUGGGCGAAAGCCUGAUCCAGCAAUGCCGCGCGAGUGAAGAAGGCCUUCGGGUUGUAAAGCUCUUUUGUCAGGGAAGAAACGGCCUGUUCUAAUACAGUGGGCUAAUGACGGUACCUGAAGAAUAAGCACCGGCUAACUACGUGCCAGCAGCCGCGGUAAUACGUAGGGUGCAAGCGUUAAUCGGAAUUACUGGGCGUAAAGCGUGCGCAGGCGGUUUUGUAAGUCUGUCGUGAAAUCCCCGGGCUCAACCUGGGAAUGGCGAUGGAGACUGCAAGGCUAGAGUUUGGCAGAGGGGGGUAGAAUUCCACGUGUAGCAGUGAAAUGCGUAGAUAUGUGGAGGAACACCGAUGGCGAAGGCAGCCCCCUGGGUCAAGACUGACGCUCAUGCACGAAAGCGUGGGGAGCAAACAGGAUUAGAUACCCUGGUAGUCCACGCCCUAAACGAUGUCUACUAGUUGUCGGGUCUUAAUUGACUUGGUAACGCAGCUACGCGUGAGUAGACCGCCGUGGGAGGUACGGUCGCGAGAGUUAAACGUACAAGAAGUAGUAGGACGUGAGACGUAGACCGACGGACGACGACGACGGGAGGAGGAGG
rnacentral:rRNA from 1 species